rnacentral:ncRNA from 1 species
UGUUCGCCCAUUAAAGCGGUACGCGAGCUGGGUUCAGAACGUCGUGAGACAGUUCGGUCCCUAUCCGGGCGUGGGCGCAGGAUAUUUGAGAGGAGCUGACCUUAGUACGAGAGGACCGGGUUGGACUGACCUCUGGUGUACCGGUUGUUCUACCAAGAGCAUGGCCGGGUAGCCAAGUCGGGAAGGGAUAAACGCUGAAGGCAUCUAAGCGUGAAGCCCCCCUCAAGAUGAGAUAUCCCCCGCAUAAGCGGUAAGACCCCUUGAAGACGACGAGGUAGAUAGGUUAGAGGUGGAAGUGCAGUAAUGUAUGGAGCUGACUAAUACUAAUAGGUCGAAGGCUUAUCCAU